rnacentral:rRNA from 1 species
ACGAACGCUGGCGGCGUGCUUAACACAUGCAAGUCGAACGGUGAAGCGCCUUCCUUUUUGGUGGGUGUGGAUGAGUGGCGAACGGGUGAGUAACACGUGAGUAACCUGCCCCCUUCUUCUGGAUAACCGCAUGAAAGUGUGGCUAAUACGGGAUAUUCUGGGUCUGUCGCAUGAUGGGUCUGGGAAAGAUAUUGUUUCGGUGGGGGAUGGGCUCGCGGCCUAUCAGCUUGUUGGUGGGGUGAUGGCCUACCAAGGCGGUGACGGGUAGCCGGCCUGAGAGGGUGGCCGGUCACACUGGGACUGAGACACGGCCCAGACUCCUACGGGAGGCAGCAGUGGGGAAUAUUGCACAAUGGGCGCAAGCCUGCUGCAGCGACGCCGCGUGAGGGAUGGAGGCCUUCGGGUUGUGAACCUCUUUCGCCAGUGAAGCAGGCCUGCCUCGUUUGUGGGUGGGUUGACGGUAGCUGGAUAAGAAGCGCCGGCUAACUACGUG